GGCCAUCACUUUUCAUUCAAAGUACCCAAUCUGCACCGAAUACUGCCUUUACUUGGGUCAGCAUUCGUUUUUAUUUACAUUGUUUAUAAGGCUUCUUUUUUUUCACUUUCAUUUCUAAGUUAUUUUUUUUUAUGACUAAAAUAACGUUAAAAAUAGUCAUUUCUAAGUUAUCAUAUCUUCUUUUAUUCUUUUUCUCAUUUUGACACCACAAGAUAAAUCAUUAUUUGUUUAUA
rnacentral:lncRNA from 1 species